rnacentral:rRNA from 1 species
UACGUAGGGGGCGAGCGUUGUCCGGAAUUAUUGGGCGUAAAGAGCUCGUAGGCGGUUAUGGAAGUCGGAUGUGAAAUACCGGGCUCAACUCCGGGGCGCCAUUCGAUACUCCAUUGACUAGAGUCCGGUAGGGGAAGGUGGGAAUUCCUGGUGUAGCGGUGAAAUGCGCAGAGAUCAGGAGGAACACCGAGUGGCGAAGGCAGGUCUCUGGGCAUUAACUGACGCUGGAGGAGCGAAAGCAUGGGGAGCGAACAGG